UACGGAGGGUGCAAACGUUGCUCGGAAUCACUGGGCGUAAAGCGCACGUAGGCGGAUUCUUAAGUCAGGGGUGAAAUCCUGGAGCUCAACUCCAGAACUGCCUUUGAUACUGAGGGUCUUGAGUUCGGGAGAGGUGAGUGGAACUGCGAGUGUAGAGGUGAAAUUCGUAGAUAUUCGCAAGAACACCAGUGGCGAAGGCGGCUCACUGGCCCGAUACUGACGCUGAGGUGCGAAAGCGUGGGGAGCAAACAGG
rnacentral:rRNA from 1 species